rnacentral:lncRNA from 1 species
CUCUGGUACUGCUCCACAGAUGCAGCGUGAAUUAUAUUGAUACAAGGUAUCAAACUCCGUUGCAUCCUAAUUCCUUUUCUCAACAUAGACUAAGGAUCCAUUUGAUUGUAAAAAUAGAAUUUGGGUGGAAUUUGUCAAUUAAAUGCGUUUGAUCGAUAUAAUUUUUAACUUGAAAAAUAUUAAAAUUUUGAAUCUUUUGGUAUUCAUUUGACUUCGUUUUCCAUGUAAAUUGUCAAUUAAAGAGAUAAAAUUUGUUACAAUUGCCAAAAAAAGGGGAUGGAAAACCCAAUUCCUACCAAAACCAAAGGAUUGGUUUUGCACCAGUUCAUAGAAAAGAGGUCACGUGGGGGUAGGGUGGAGGGAAAAUGAAUUCCAUGGAAACUUCUCCCAAUCAAACACCCAAAAAGAUGAGCAAAAUUUUCCAUAUCAAACAAGGCCUAAAUUCAAAUUAAAUAACUAGUUUGUCCAGGAGGUAACUUGGUUAUUCUGAAUGGGGAUAUUCAUAACCUAGAAACUUGUCGACUCAUAUUAUUCUUGGAAUAUGUGGAGUCUAAUUAGUAAUUACGUUUUCCUUGACUACGAUCUACCUUACUAUAAGGGUUUAUUGGGCAUUCAAAAUUAUACAUGAUUGGUGGGAUAUGGUGAAUUUUUUGUUAAUAGGGCAUAUUGGGCAUUAAUAGGGCCUUUAUGAUGUAGAAUUUUUUUUAAAAUAGAUUUUGUGAAAACGAAUUAUUUGGAGUAUGUGUGGUUAAAAAGUAAAAAAGUUUAUGUCCACGUGCAAAAUUAUUUUAUUACGAGAAUGGGUGAAAAUGAAUUCGGAGAAAAUGAGUUUUACAAAAUCUGUGCCUAACAGGGGCUUAUGUUUCUAUUGAGUUGUCCACUUGCCCUAGUUUAUAUGUUAUGAAUAUGAAUAGUAAAAUCUAGAGCAGCCAAUGGAUGUAUCUAUUAUGUUGAGGGCGAACCCCUAUAUAACUGCAAUCUUGUUCGUUAAUGGUUUCUUUUUUCACUUAUAAUUACUUUUGGAUUCAAGGAUUAAGGAUUAAUUUUUAAAACUAUUUCAUGCAAAAAAUGAAAAAAAAAAUAUGUGCUGUCAGACUCCAGAGACAGCAAAAAGUCUGAUAGAAGAACUUAAGCUAUUAAGUUUUCCAUAGAACAUGGAGACUUGAUCAAAGAUGGGGAGCAGUAGAUGGAGGACACGGCAAAUUCUUGCACUAUUGCUGCAGCUCUAAUUGCAACAAUAGCUUUUGCAGCUCUGAUCCUUGUUGAUGCUCUUGUCCAUCCUAACUGUACGGUAAGCAGAAGGUGAUUUUCUCUACUCCCUCUCGAAGAGAUUGACAAUCGGUUUAGUUAUCUCAUUCCUCUCCAUAACAUCCAUGACGACGAUAGCCUUUAGUGCCACACUAUAUCUAGUUUUCGGUAAGAGAAUGGUGUGGACUAUUAUUCCAGUAUCAGCAUUGGCCUAUCUACCUGUGAACUUGUUUGUGACACUGCAAUUUUCCCUCCUCAUGGAUAUGAUCCGUUCGACCUCUGACCACGGAAUUUUUGGGAAACGACAAACUUCCAAAUGUCUUCUUUUCUAGAUCAGCAAAUAUAGUCACCGCAUGUUAUCUAUGUCUUGAAGUUGCUUUGUCGUAUGGAACUCUUUGUACUUGCACGAAAUAGGAAGUUUGUAAUAUUUACUUAGGCUAUUGACUUGAG